CCCUUAGAUGUUCUGGGCCGCACGCGUGCUACACUGAGUAAUUCAAUGGGUAAGGGAACGCUAGAGCAUUACCUAAUCUUGAAAUUUGCUCGUGAUGGGGAUCGACGGUUGCAAUUUUCCGUCGUGAACGAGGAAUACCUUGUAGGCGCAUGUCAUCAUCAUGCGCCGAAUACGUCCCUGCCCUUUGUACACACCGCCCGUCGCUCCUACCGAUUGAGUGAUCCGGUGAGGCUCUGGGACCUGGACGGAAAGAGCGUUUCGCUUGUUCUGUUUGGGAAACUUGGUCGAACCUUAUCAUUUAGGGGAAGGAGAAGUCGUAACA
rnacentral:rRNA from 1 species